rnacentral:rRNA from 1 species
CUAAGAACCUUACCUGGUCUUGACAUCCACGGAACUUUCCAGAGAUGGAUUGGUGCCUUCGGGAACCGUGAGACAGGUGCUGCAUGGCUGUCGUCAGCUCGUGUCGUGAGAUGUUGGGUUAAGUCCCGCAACGAGCGCAACCCUUGUCCUUAGUUGCCAGCACGUGAUGGUGGGAACUUUAAGGAGACCGCCGGUGACAAACCGGAGGAAGGUGGGGAUGACGUCAAGUCAUCAU